AAGUCGUAACAAGGUUUCCGUAGGUGAACCUGCGGAAGGAUCAUUAUUGAGUUUGCGCGGCCGUUGCUGGUUCUUACAAGUGCACGCCGUGUCUUUCUUUAUCCACCCCACUGUGCAUCUGGACGCGCCUUUGCGCGCGGUCCAAACCUUUUACAUUACAAAACCGUCUUGUACGAGUAGAACGCGCUCUUUGAGUAAUAAAAUACAACUAUCAACAACGGAUCUCUUGGCAUCCC
rnacentral:misc_RNA from 1 species